rnacentral:lncRNA from 1 species
UAGGUGACCUUUGGUUUAGCAAUGAGUUUUUAAAUACAAGAUUGAAAAGGUGUGUGUGUGUUUGUGUGUGUGUGUGUGUGUAUGAGACAGAGAGAGAAACUGCGUGUCGUCCAGAUAAUUUUUGUGAAUGAUGUAAGAAAGGGGCUCAACAUCAUUCCUUUGCAUGUGAAUAUCCAGGUGCCCCAGUUCAAUUUGUUGAAGAGCAGAAGUUUUUAAUUCAAUGAAAUCCAGUUUAUCAAUUUUUUGGUUUUGGUGUCAUUUGUAAGAGUGAGUAAGAUUACAGGAGACUUCCAUUUUCUUUUCUUUUCUUUUUUCUUUUUUUUUUUUUUUNNNNNNNNNNNNNNNNNNNNNNNNNNNNNNNNNNNNNNNNNNNNNNNNNNNNNNNNNNNNNNNNNNNNNNNNNNNNNNNNNNNNNNNCACCUCCCAGGUUCAAGCGAUUCUCCUGCCUCAGCCUCCUAAGUAGCUGGGAUUAUGGCGCCUCAGCCUCUCAAGUAGCUGGGAUUACAGGUGCCCGCCACCAAAUACAGGGAAGCACCAACAGACCAUAUCAGUAACUUCGAGUGAGUUUCCUAAGGCUGAUUGAAGCUCUGUUUACACAUAAGAGUGUUCCCCAAAGUGCACUUUCUCUGGGGCCUUUUAGGCCAUACUUUUUAUUUUGUUAUUUGAUACUACUGGUUGCUAAUGUUCUGGCAUUUCCAGUUGUUCCACACUCCCUGACACUGGUGUACACAAAUAAAUAAUACAGAAAAAAAAUUAUAUCAGCAAGCACAUUCUGCAAAUAAGAAAAACAGCCACUCGGGCACGUAUAAACAAGGUGGACCGUUUUUCAAAUUCUGGCAGUCAAGUGGGCCUCAGGAUGGGUUUGAUUCAGGCUCUCAUCGUUGGAGCCAUAGCUGUGGUUCUCUGUGAUGCUCUGGCUCUCCCUUCAUACUUCUUAACAUCAUCCUCGGGCUGGCUUCCCACGUGGGAUUGUGGUGCUUUCCAGCAGCGAGUCUUGAUCAGACAUUGCUUUAGUUGCAUCUGUUGUGGGAAUAAAUGAGAAUAUGUAUGCACUGCAGAGAAUGGAGUGUUAAAACAGUCAACAAAUGUUAGCUAAUAUGUACACAAGAUUUUACUACUCUUUAGCGGCAAAAUGGAGGGGAAGACCUUCUAAGGCCCUUUGGAGAGAUGAAAUGGCUCAUUUAACCCUCACAAGAUCCUUGAGGUAGGGAUUCAUGUGCAUGUCAUAUAGAUAAGGAAUCUGAGGUUCAGUGAGGCAAGGUAAGCUUCCUGAGGGCACACAGCAUGGAAGUGGAGGGGACAGCGUGUGAGCUGGGGUCCACCUGGGCUCCGAGGUCCGUGCUCCUUGCGUACACUGGACUACUUCUAGAGAUGGACAUAUUGAAUUUCUUAGGACUUGACUCCUGGCCUUGGUUUCCUGGACUCCCCAGUGUGUGAAGCAGAGAUGGGAUCGAGGCUGCACCACCACCAUCCCCCUCUCCCAUCUAGAGAACCAGCCAGGCCACCUCUCAGGUCCCUCCUGUUUCUUUUCUCUGCAACCCAAGCUGAUGUGGAGGGCAUUGAGGCUCCUCUGGGGGGAUGCUGUGGUACCAGGUGGGUCUCACAUCCCUGGUCUCCCGCCUUCUGGGCAAGCUCCCCACUCAGGGCUCCACGUUUCCCCAAGAACCCUGAGGUGGCUGGAAUAAUGGCCACAUUGACGGAGUCACUUGUCCAACUCUGAGGGGGCGCUCUCAUCACCCCCGCUCUACAGAUGGGGAAACAGGCUCGCAGAGGUUCAGGCACCUGCCCAAGGUCACACAGCUGCUGGAUUCAAACCCAUUCUGACUCCAGAAGCUGGACUGCAGUCCACGGCACCACUCCACCCCCCAGUUCCUCAGUCAGGUACUUACUGAAGCCAAAUUAAAUUUACCCCCCUGAAAAUGUGGGUUUGGCAGGGAUCAAGCAGGUCAGGAACCUGCUUUUUAACGAGUCUUCUAUCCCAUACAUCUGUCCAAGGCACUAUUUGGGGUUAUGUGCUGGCCUUCGAGUUCACCCUCACUGGGCCCUGUGUCCCUGUGUCCCCAGGCCCGACCCAAGCCUGGCCUUGAGGUAGAGGUCAUGGGUGCUGGGUGGGGUCUGAAUGACCCCUUUACUCACUUGGAGUA